rnacentral:rRNA from 1 species
GUAAUGGCGAAUGAACAGGGAUGAGCUCAGGCUGGAAACCGAUACAUCUGUGUCGGGCUGUAGCCUGCAGGCAUAGCGCUAUCGGCGGCUCGAGCGCAAGCCUCUUGGAAUAGAGCGUGUGCCCGGGUGAGAAUCCUGCAUUUCGCUCGAUGUCCGCUGUCCACAGUGCUUGUCCUGAGAGUCACGCUCCUCGGAAUUGGAGCGUAAAUCAGGUGGUAAGUUUCAUCCAAAGCUAAAUAGAAGCUCGAGACCAAUAGCAAACAAGUACCAUGAGGGAAAGAUGAAAAGGACUUUGGAAAGAGAGCUAAAAGUGUUUGAAAUUGCUGAGAGCGAAGCGAACGGAGCCACAUGUCGUUCUGAGAUUGCUGUGGGUCUUUGUGAGCCUUGAGCAUGUAAGCGCGAGCUGACUGCUUAUGUGUGAGCAUUUACCCGCAGUGUUUCUCAGCAUGCGAGUCAUUAGCCACAUUUGUUUGAGGAUGGCCUUCAGCUCACAUGGUACACUUGUUAGUGUUCCUCUGUGCGGUGUGGGACUCAGACAGGUGUGGCUUGUUGACCCAGUGGUUUUUUUCGACCCGUCUUGAAACACGGACCAAGG